rnacentral:misc_RNA from 1 species
AUUUUGAUAAGAAAAUAUUACGAAACUUGAAAACAACAUUAAAUUUGUGUUUAGCAUCCUAAUGAGCAAAAACUAUAAAAUUUUUUAUUAAUUAUGAAAAAAUUAGUUAACUGAAACCUUGAUUCAGAAACAUCGAGCAACUUGUUAGUAAACAAAACCGUUCUAAAUAUUGAACUGAAAAAAUUCUUUAGCUCCAGUUUUUUAAAAUUUUUUAGGCUUGUUGUAUUGAAGAUUUUAUAGUGUUGGUUCGACCACGUUGAUUAAGUAUUUAAAGUGGAUAUUUACGUUUCUUUGUAAACAUGACUAUGGCGAUCAACAUUUUACAAGUUCAUAUAUCUUCAAGUUAACUAUUAUUAUAUCAUAUUUCAGACCUAUAUUUUCAUGCCUUACAAAAAUUAUACUUUUUUUUGGCUCUUUAAGUAUCUCUAAAGCUGAAUAUCAUGAUUACUCUAUUAAGACAAAUUUCCCGCAACCGUAAACCAUUUUUACAAUGUUUUCGAUGUAUAUACAUAAAGGACGGGAUAUGGUCCAAGGAAUUAACUAAUGAUGUUAAAAAGGAAAUUGAAAGCUAUUGGAAAGAUGAGAUAAAUAAACCAUUUCCAAAUAAAAAGGAGGCUGAAAAGUAUUAUUUAUUAUCUAUGUUUCCUUAUCCAUCUGGUAAUCUACAUAUGGGACAUGUCAGGGUAUACACCAUAAGUGAUGCAAUAGCACGUUUCCUCAGAAUGAAUGGAAAAAAGGUAAUUCAUCCAAUUGGAUGGGAUGCUUUUGGUUUGCCUGCAGAAAAUGCGGCUAUUGAAAGAAAUAUUUAUCCUUCUGAUUGGACUAAAAAGAACAUUGCUACAAUGAAGCAACAAUUGAAAGGACUCAAUAUUAGCUUUGAUUGGGACACAGAACUAACUACCUGUGAUGCAUCUUAUUAUAAAUGGACGCAAUACUUAUUCCUCUUGAUGUUUGAAAAAGGAUUGGCUUACAAAAAAGAAGCUCUUGUGAAUUGGGAUCCUGUCGAUCAGACUGUUUUAGCCGAUGAACAAGUUGAUGAAAAUGGUCGUUCUUGGCGAUCUGGGUGCAAAGUUGAGAAGAGACGUCUCUCUCAAUGGUUUUUGCGUACUUCUGAAUUCUCUAAAGAUCUUUAUGAAGGAUUAAGUGAUCCUAGUUUAGUGGAAUGGAGAGAUGCAAUCAAAAUUCAAAAACAUUGGAUUGGUGAACCUGAUGGUUACAUAUUCCAUUUCAAAGCCUUUCACAAUGGGGAAUAUUUAAAUGAUGAUUUCACAGUUUGGACAAAUGCACCAGAACUGGUAUAUGGUGCUUCAUUUGUGGGUGUCUCACCCAAUCAUCAUUUUAAUUCAACUGAGUUUGGAGGUGGUAAAGUUGGGUGUGAUCAGAAAUUGAAUAUCACUGUUCAUAAUCCUUUUAACGGCUUACAUCUCCCAGUCAUAGUCUCCGAAAAUUUGGAUCAUAGUUCAGCUACUGAUUCAUUCUUAGGUGUUCCUGAUUCUGAUGAUACAAAAUUUACUAAAUUUGUAACAAAACACAGAACUAAUACUGUUGACAUUGCUGACAACUCAAGCCGCUUAAAAAAUUCUGGAGAGUUAUCUGGGUUGAGUAGAGAAGAAGCCAAAAGUAAAAUUCUUGAUGUUGCUCAAAGACUUAAUGUGAAAGUUUAUAAAGCAAGUAAAAAGCUAAGAGAUUGGCUAAUAUCUCGUCAACGCUACUGGGGCACUCCUAUACCAGUCAUUUACUGCACAUCCUGUAAAGUUGUACCUGUUGAUAAACAAGACUUACCCGUUCAGCUCCCAGAACUUGUAGAAUUUAGUGGAAAAUCUAGUUCUCUGAAAGCGGCCCAGGAUUGGGCAAAUAUUAAGUGCCCAAGGUGUGGUUGUCCUGCUAAAAGAGAAACAGAUACGAUGGAUACAUUUGUUGAUAGUUCAUGGUAUUUUUUACGAUAUUUAGAUGUAGAGAAUCAGUCACUACCAUUCAGUGUUGAUAAAGUUAAUAAAAACAUGCCUGUCGAUUUGUAUAUUGGAGGCAAAGAGCAUGCUGGUUUGCAUAUGUUUUAUGCAAGAUUUAUGAGUCGAUUUCUCCAUUCUGUUGGGUUAUUACGUCAUCCUGAGCCGUUUCUACAACUUUUGAUGCAAGGAAUGGUUAUGGGUAAAAGCUAUCGCAUAAAAGAUUCUGGAAAAUACGUAACUAAAGAUGAAGUAGACUUUUCUGGCCCCACUCUAUUGGAAAAAUUCUCUGGCUCUCCUGUUAUUGAAGACUGGGAGAAAAUGAGCAAAUCUAAAUAUAAUGGAGUUGAUCCACAAAAAGUUAUUGAUGAGCAUGGUAUAGAUACAGCAAGGUUAUUUAUAUUAGGAAGUGUUGCACCACAGUCACCUAGGAAAUGGAAUGAAGACUUAUUUCCAGGCAUCCAAAAUUGGCAAUGGCGGCUGUGGUUGACUGUUGCAGACUUUUUAGAGCAACAAAAACAAUCUAACCUUUCAAGGUCAUUACCUGAAGAAGAAAUUAAAAAAUAUGAAGAUCAGCUUUGUGAUGCUAGAAAUUUUUAUGUAAAAGAUUACCCACAAUUUCAUUAAUACCAGACAACUUAGUGUAGCUAUUGCUAAACUACAAGGUUUGACUGGUGAAUUAAGACGAAUCCCUAAAGUCUUAGCGCAGUCUCAUGAAUUUGGAAGAUGCUUAGGAGAUCUUAUUAUAAUGUUAGCACCAUUAGCACCUCAUUUUUCUUCUGAAUUAUGGAGUGCAUAUUGUGGCGCAGUUACAAAUUCUAAUUAUUCUUAUGACUUAAAAUCUCCUGUUUUGCUUCAAAAUUGGCCUAAAAUGGAUGUGAAUUGCAAUAUGCAGAUUAACAUAAAG